AUUGAACGCUGGCGGCAUGCUUUACACAUGCAAGUCGAACGGUAACAGGCCGCAAGGUGCUGACGAGUGGCGAACGGGUGAGUAAUGCAUCGGAACGUGCCCAGUCGUGGGGGAUAACGCAGCGAAAGCUGCGCUAAUACCGCAUACGAUCUAUGGAUGAAAGCGGGGGACCGUAAGGUCUCGCGCGAUUGGAGCGGCCGAUGUCAGAUUAGGUAGUUGGUGGGGUAAAGGCUCACCAAGCCAACGAUCUGUAGCUGGUCUGAGAGGACGACCAGCCACACUGGGACUGAGACACGGCCCAGACUCCUACGGGAGGCAGCAGUGGGGAAUUUUGGACAAUGGGCGCAAGCCUGAUCCAGCAAUGCCGCGUGCAGGAAGAAGGCCUUCGGGUUGUAAACUGCUUUUGUACGGAACGAAACGGCUCUGGUUAAUACCUGGGGCUAAUGACGGUACCGUAAGAAUGAGCACCGGCUAACUACGUGCCAGCCGCCGCGGUAAGAC
rnacentral:rRNA from 1 species